AGUGCUGUAAGCUCAGUGGUAGAGCAUCUGCCUUGCACACAGAAGGUCCCAGGUUCAAUCCCUGGCAGCAUCA